rnacentral:rRNA from 1 species
CACGUAGGGACCAAGCGUUGUCCGGAUUCAUUGGGCGUAAAGAGCUCGUAGGCGGUUCGAUAAGUCGGGUGUGAAACCUCCAGGCUCAACCUGGAGACGCCACCCGAUACUGUCGUGACUAGAGUCCAGUAGGGGAGCGUGGAAUUCCUGGUGUAGCGGUGAAAUGCGCAGAUAUCGGGAGGAACACCUAUGGCGAAGGCAGCUCGCUGGGACGUUACUGACGCUGAGACGCGAAAGCGUGGGGAGCGAACAGG